GGGGUUUCACCGUGUUAGCCAGGAUGGUCUUGCACUCCUGACCUCGUCCACCCUCCUUCUCCUCCCAAAGUGCUGGGAUUACAUGCGUGAGCCACCGCGCCUGGCCCUGGUGCCCUUUUAAAAACAGGAAGAGGGAGAGAGUGAUCUUGCUCUAGCAACACAUGAGAAGAGGCAACGAACCAAUUGAUGCUGAAAUGGAUAGAAGUAGCACGAGUGAAAACUGAAGCAGAGGCAUCAGGAAGACGCAUCCUCAGAAGCUGUAAGACAGCAUGGCGUGGGAGACGGCCCCUCUGUUUCGUCUCCUCAAGUUCCGUGGCAGACUAGUAAGACUGAGUUUGACACCUUGGGAGAGACACGUCUGCCAAGUUUGUCAUCCAUUAAAUUCACAUUAAAUGAUAAGAGUUGACCACAGCAUUACAAUGUUAAAUUGACGAUGAAGCAAUGAACAAAAGAAUGCCUUGCAUUUCAGGCUGUCAAAAAUAAUGCCAUCAGGAUAAACAUUUUAAAAGGCACAAAAGAAAUCAUGUAUUAAUAGGAAGAAA
rnacentral:lncRNA from 10 species